AUUCUUUCUGUUCUGGUAUAUGAAAAAAGAAAAAGAGCAAUGGGAAAGAUGAAGGAAACUUUUGAACACUGAUAAACACCAAGAACUCUAGAAAUAUUUUUUUACCUCUCAAAACUUCCGAAAAAAUUCUCUCAAAAAAAACCUCUAUAAAAUAUCUCCCCAAAAAAUCCUCUCCCAAAAAUCAGUUCAGAGCACCCCUUUUAUACCUAAUCCUAGAAGCUUCCUCAAAAAUCCAAAAAUAUUCCCCUCUAGAACGAAUUCGGACAGAUGGAGAGAGAGGAUCGAUCAAAAAUCAGUCCACGAUCCCUAUUUUUCGGAAUUCAUUCUCAAAAAUCACAUGGGAGAUGAAAAUUUUGACAAAGGACGUUAGAAUCUUGCUGGCGAGGAGCGAGGGGGAACGCGUGAGUGAUUUGAGCUCACUCGCUGGGGAUUUGGGCGUUUGAGAGUGAAUUUGCGUGAGGAAGUAGUGAACAGCGGCGUCUCUAAUCUUAGGAGAUUAGGGCUCUGUGAGUGAGUUCUCGUGAGUAUAUCUGGGGAUGGGUCGGGUUAGCGAGUGUGUUGGUC
rnacentral:lncRNA from 1 species